AGCUUUGCGCAGUGGCAGUAUCGUAGCUAAUGAGGUUUAUCCACGGCGCGAUUAUUGCUAAUUGAAAAAAAAAAAAUCUGUUACCUAUCAGUAUAGUGGUACCCAUGCCUGUGAAGGCAUUUUUAAUGUUUUAGAUAAU
rnacentral:snRNA from 1 species